CCUACGGGUGGCAGCAGUGGGGAAUAUUGGGCAAUGGAGGCAACUCUGAUCCAGCAACGCCGCGUGAAUGAUGAAGGUCUUCGGAUUGUAAAGCUCUGUCAUCGGGGAUGAACACAAUGACGGUACCUCAAUAGCACCCCACGGCUAACUACGUGCCAGCCGCCGCGGUAAUACGGAGGGGGCAAGCGUUAUCCGGAAGGACUUGUGGGAAAGGGGGCGUAGGUGGUUUAGUAAGGUUGAGGUGAAAUGCCGGGGCUCAACCGCGGAGCUGCCGCGGAAACUGUUAGGCUAGAGUGCAGGAGAGGUAAGUGGAAUUCCUAGUGUAGCGGUGAAAUGCGUAGAUAUUAGGAGGAACAUCAGGGGCGAAGGCGGCUUACUGGACUGUAACUGACGCUGAGGCACGAAAGCGUGGGGAGCAAACAGGAUUAGAUACCCCAGUAGUC
rnacentral:rRNA from 1 species